GCAAAAAUAGUUACCACAUUUGACAACACUAAUUACUUGUGAUGUGCUUUGAGAGUCUUUUAACCAGGAAGGUUGGUUGAGGCCAGGAGGCUGAAUAUUCACAAGAUGGCUUGGUUAAAGAAGGCCCAUCUGCUCUCAUGCUUCCAGAAUGCCUUCACAACCCAAAUUUUGAUAAAAAUAGUUGGAUUGGCCCUGGAAGUGCUACUUUAACAUAAAAAUCAAAGGGAUCAGUAGAAAUCACAGAGUAGAGGCAGGUGAGAAGAUCACAGCAGUUGAAUGGGCUUACAUUGACAGCACAGAAGCUUCAUAAGGUUAUUUAUGGUUGUAGCUUGCAGCUUGAGACAGCCGCAUGCUUAAAUGUUUUGAAAAACAAUUCAACAAGAUCACUGGGGAUUAGGAAUGCUUGCAAAAGUUACUCAAGAUGAAAAGAGUGCUGAUUGAGAAGGGUGUGCAAGUAUCCAAAAGAAAAUCUAUACACGUUGGGAAGAAACACAUAUACCGUCAAAAUCUCACCAGUGAUCUGCUGGUACAAGAUUGGAUCAAAGCUUUGCUUUUCUAUGACCGAUGCACACUAAAGUCAGGCAUUAUUGCAGGGUCGGUGUUCACACAAAAGGAAGUGAAGAUUUGAGUGAAUCAGUCAGUCGACACCAGCAAGAAAUCCAUUUGCCUGUUUCAGCUAGCAUUGUGAUCACAAAUGUUAAUAGUACAAGUAUUUUUGAAGUAGAUUUUGACAAAUUAAGUUUCUUCAACUGCGAUGCAACACAUUAAUGGCUUGAGGAGAACUAAUUGAGAUAAAUUUCUGUGGUCUAUAUCUAUGAUACCACAACUUAGAAUAUCAGAUAUAUAAAUUCCCCUCCUCUCUUCCCCCCCUCCCCCCAUUAACCACCACCAUCAUCAUGCCCUUCACUAUGUUAUUCAAUACCGAGUUCCAUUGAGCGCAUAAAUAUGUAACAGUUCCAUUUUGUACAAUGGCUAUCAUAAAACACAUUGUUAGAUUUGUGAGCUAUUAUCCACACUGAGAAGAUGAUGUCCCUGCUUAAAGUCUUAUCAAAGGCUCUGUUUCUGGGAAAUUGGACACGUGGGCAUGAUUUAAGAACCAAUGUCUCUGACAAGGUCUUCCUUUAAAUGUAAUAUACUCUUAAGUCAAUUUAGCUUCAUACAGGUACAGAAUGCAUCCAA